AUCGAACGCUGGCGGCAGGCCUAACACAUGCAAGUCGAGCGAGCGGCGGACGGGUGAGUAAUGUAUGGGGACUGCCCGAUAGAGGGGGAUAACUACUGGAAACGGUGGCUAAUACCGCAUACUAUCGGAUAACCCAUAUGGGAUUAGCUAGUAGGUGGGGUAAAGGCUCACCUAGGCGACGAUCUCUAGCUGGUCUGAGAGGGUGAUCGGCAAAACUGGAACUGAGAAACGGCCCAGACUCCUACGGAGGCAGAAGUGGGGAAUAUUGCACAAUGGGCACAAGCCUGAUGCAGCCAUGCCGCGUGUGUGAAGAAGGCCUUAGGGUUGUAAAGUACUUUCAGCGGGGAGGCGUUACCCGAAGAGAAAGCACCGGCUAACUCCGUGCCAGCAGCCGCGGUAAUUC
rnacentral:rRNA from 1 species